rnacentral:lncRNA from 1 species
CUUAAUGUGUGCUUAAGGAAAGUAACUAAAACAGACAAACAGACCUCUAAUGCUUCAGAGAUCUGCAGAAUAUGGCAUUUAAAUUGUUAUUUUAAAAGUUUAUAAUAUCAGACAGACUGCCAGAUCCGGACAGUGACCCAAACCACCUAUAUGCUUAAUGUGUGCUUAAGAAAAGUAACUAAAACAGACAAACAGACCUCUAAUGCUUCAGAGAUCUUCAGAAUAUGGCAUUUAAAUUGUUAUCUUUAAAGUUUAUAAUGUCAGACAGACUGCCAGAUCCGGACAGUGACCCAAAGUCUCCAAAGAAGAUUACGAGGCACCUCAGUUCCUGCACCUGGACCAGUGAGCGAGAUGCUCAGAUGUGAUACCUGCCGCCUGCCAGAACCUGGCCGAGACUGUGGACAAAGCUGCUGGACACUGGAAAAUUGAUUGCACCCCUUUGCCUAGACAAAACAAGGUCAGUCUUUUCCAUGUCCGUCUUCCACAGAGAGAAAAAAACUCUCACAGUAUAGGCUUGGCGAGGAUUGCUGGUCUUUGAGACACCUGCCUCCAGCGGUAAUGGAGAAACUUGGGUUUGGCUAACUGUAUAUGGACUUGCUUCUGACUGGCUUCUGUCACUUUUUAGUAGAUUUGGAUAAAGUAUACCCUUCUCAGAUCUCUGAAAUAUUACUGGUUGUCAGCUUGACAGCAUCAGGCAGUCAGAUCCACUAUAGACU